GGGGAUGACAGGCUUCGAUAGACGGCAACGUUAUCUAUGUAUGCAUACCAAGAGUGUCAUCUCUUGUAAAUCAAUGACAAAUCGAUACGUGUAAACGUUAUCAGUCGAGUAAAAGGCGCUAUUGCUAACGCAUUUAGCAUGCCACAACUCGCAUCUGUUGUUGCCUAAAUAAGGCUAAACGACCAUCGCCAUGAAGAUACUCGCUAUUCAUAUCCGCGGUGUCAACCAUACAGAGUUCGUCUCUGUGAGCGAGCGUAGAAUAUAUGUGCUGACUGACGCGUAUAUUUGAACUUCCAUCAGUAUGUAGUGUGUUUCUUUUUGAUAUUUUUAAAAAAGCACAUGAACCAACAAAAUAUCUAUGUAUGUAGAGUACCUAGCUAACCCGAUCUAGACCCGGGUUCAAUUCCCGGCAUCUCCACGA
rnacentral:tmRNA from 1 species